rnacentral:rRNA from 1 species
CCUACGGGUGGCUGCAGUGAGGAAUAUUGGUCAAUGGUCGGGAGACUGAACCAGCCAAGCCGCGUGAGGGAGGAAGGUACAGAGUAUCGUAAACCUCUUUUGUCAGGGAACAAAGGCGGGGACGUGUCCCCGGAUGAGUUUACCUGAGGAAAAAGCAUCGGCAAACUCCGUCCCGGCACCCGCGGUAAUACGGAGGAUGCGAGCGUUAUCCGGAUUUAUUGGGUUUAAAGGGGGCGCAGGCGGUCUGUUAAGUCAGCGGUCAAAGCCCGGGGCUCAACCCCGGCCAGCCGUUGAAACUGGGAGUCUAGAGUUGGCGAGAAGUAUGCGGAAUGCGCGGUGUAGCGGUGAAAUGCAUAGAUAUCGCGCAGAACUCCGAUUGCGAAGGCAGCAUGCCGGUUCCACACUGACGCUGAGGCACGAAAGCGUGGGUAUCGAACAGGAUUAGAUACCCCUGUAGUC